AGGAUGAACGCUGGCGGCGUGCCUAAAACAUGCAAGUCAUACGGGCUACCUUCGGGUAGCCAGUGGCAAACGGGUGAGUAACACGUGGGAACGCGCCUUGGGGUGGGGAAUAACGCUGAGAAAUCAGUGCUAAUACCGCAUAUGGUCUAACGACUAAAGCAGCAAUGCGCCCCGAGAGCGGCCCGCGACCGAUUAGCUAGUUGGUGGGGUAAUGGCCUACCAAGGCGGUGAUCGGUAGCUGGUCUGAGAGGAUGGUCAGCCACACUGGGACUGCGAGCGGCCCAGACUCCUACGGGAGGCAGCAGUUAGGAAUUUUCGGCAAUGGACGAAAGUCUGACCGAGCGACGCCGCGUGGAGGAUGACGCCUUUCGGGGUGUAAACUCCUUUUCUGCGGGAAGAUAAUGACGGUACCGCAGGAAUAAGCACCGGCUAACUACGCGCCAGCAGCCGC
rnacentral:rRNA from 1 species